CUUUAUUACAGCAACUACUUAGUCACAGAAGUGUUGGCUAGCAAGCUCCCAACUAUCUUAACAAACUCCCAACUCCUGCAACAAACUUCAGGGAUGUGCAGGACAGAUUAUCCAUGCUGGCCUUGUACAAAUCCAAGUGAUGUGGCUCUUAGCUACCACCAUUGAAAUUGCUCUUGGCUUUCUUCCAGCUCCAGGUCUCUUGAUAUUUAAUUUCAUACUGAAAGGAAGAAUAGAACAAAGAGUAAUGAUAAUCUGUCAUGCUUUAGGACGGCUGUUGCUUUCAGCAUCUAGGAGCAAUGUGUCCAAGGAGGCUCUGCUUUGAUAUGGUAUCCCACUGACAUAAAAUUCUGCAAUAGAUCAUGACAAAAACAUCAAAUCUCAUAAGAGGACAGUUGAUGGGCUUCAUUGCUGACGUCAUUGUGGACAGCUGCAGCUCCACUGCCUCUAGGAUCCUAGUAUAAAACUCAC
rnacentral:lncRNA from 1 species